rnacentral:rRNA from 1 species
GACGAACGCUGGCGGCGUGCUUAACACAUGCAAGUCGAACGGAAAGGCCCUGCUUUUGUGGGGUGCUCGAGUGGCGAACGGGUGAGUAACACGUGAGUAACCUGCCCUUGACUUUGGGAUAACUUCAGGAAACUGGGGCUAAUACCGGAUAGGAGCUCCUGCUGCAUGGUGGGGGUUGGAAAGUUUCGGCGGUUGGGGAUGGACUCGCGGCUUAUCAGCUUGUUGGUGGGGUAGUGGCUUACCAAGGCUUUGACGGGUAGCCGGCCUGAGAGGGUGACCGGCCGAUUGGGGCCAGGAGUAGGGCCGAGCCUCCUGGGGGGGGCAGAGGGGGGAAAUAGUGCAAAAGGGGGGGAGGUGUGAGGCAGCACCGCCGUGUGGGGGAUGGGGGCUUUGGGUUUGAAACCCUCUUUCGCCUGUGACGAAGGGGGGGGGAGGGUAGGGUGUAAAAAAACCCGGGCAAACUCGGGC